GAUGAACGCUGGCGGCGUGCCUAAUACAUGCAAGUCGAGCGAACGGACGAGAAGCUUGCUUCUCUGAUGUUAGCGGCGGACGGGUGAGUACCACGUGGAUAACCUACCUAUAAGACUGGGAUAACUUCGGGAAACCGGAGCUAAUACCGGAUAAUAUUUUGAACCGCAUGGUUCAAAAGUGAAAGACGGUCUUGCUGUCACUUAUAGAUGGAACCGCGCUGCAUUAGCUAGUUGGUAAGGUAACGGCUUACCAAGGCAACGAUGCAUAGCCGACCUGAGAGGGUGAUCGGCCACACUGGAACUGAGACACGGUCCAGACUCCUACGGGAGGCAGCAGUAGGGAAUCUUCCGCAAUGGGCGAAAGCCUGACCGAGCAACGCCGCGUGAGUGAUGAAGGUCUUCGGAUCGUAAAACUCUGUUAGUAGGGAAGAACAUAUGUGUAAGUAACUGUGCACAUCUUGACGGUACCUAAACAGAAAGCCACGGCUAACUACGUG
rnacentral:rRNA from 1 species